UACAGAGGGUGCAAGCGUUGCUCGGAAUCACUGGGCGUAAAGGGCGCGUAGGCGGCUCAUGAAGCUGUGGUGAAAGCCCGGGGCUCAACCCUGGAACUGCCUUUGAUACUGUCGAUCUGGAGUAUGGAAGAGGUGAGUGGAAUUCCUGGUGUAGCGGUGGAAUGCGCAGAUAUCAGGAGGAACACCAAUAGCGAAGGCAGCUCGCUGGGACGGUACUGACGCUAAGGCGCGAAAGCGUGGGGAGCGAACAGG
rnacentral:rRNA from 1 species